rnacentral:rRNA from 1 species
AACGAACGCUGGCGGCAUGCCUAACACAUGCAAGUCGAACGAUGGCUUCGGCCAUAGUGGCGCACGGGUGAGUAACACGUGGGAAUCUGCCUGUCGGUUCGGAAUAACGUCUGGAAACGGACGCUAACACCGGAUACGCCCCCCAUUCGAGAGUUUGGGGGGGAAAGUUUACGCCGACAGAUGAGCCCGCGUCCGAUUAGGUAGUUGGUGGGGUAAAGGCCUUCCAAGCCGACGAUCGGUAGCUGGUCUGAGAGGAUGAUCAGCCACACUGGGACUGAGACACGGCCCAGACUCCUACGGGAGGCAGCAGUGGGGAAUAUUGGACAAUGGGCGCAAGCCUGAUCCAGCAAUGCCGCGUGAGUGAUGAAGGCCUUAGGGUUGUAAAGCUCUUUCGCACGUGACGAUGACGACGGUAACGUGAGAAGAAGCCCCGGCUAACUUCGUGCCAGCCGCCGCCGUAA